CACAAUCUGGAGUGGGUACAUCAAUAGGCUUCGAGUGGCAGAGGCAAUUUUUGUUGCUCGCGAGGUCACAGUCCAUUGGAGGUGACCUGAAAACUACAACGGCCUUAUUAUGGCAGGCAGCCCACGACAUCCAGUACUUCAGGAUCAGAUGUAUCGGAAAGUGUGCUGCCGGCCGCAAGUGGCGGUAUGACAAGUGAGGAAUGGCUGGCUGCCAAUAGGACAGUGUCGUCUGAUAUCAGGUGAAUUUGAAGUCAUAGGCGUAGCAGCAGCUGCAGGCCUCGGCAAUGCCUGAAUUGAAAUGUGUCCGACAGCUGCGGAUGUGAAACAAGCCGCAGAUGGCGCUGUGGCUGGUAAUGUUGUAUCGGCCUCCGCCAGGCCUCGAUCAUCGAUGAUUAUAUUUUAGGAGUCGCAGAUGUUUGCGCCAACAGAUGGCCGGGUAUUGAGAAGCUGUCGCUGUAGUCAGGAGCCGUUGGUGCGUAUACAGCCGCACGUGGCAUAGUGGCUGGUAAUGUUUGUCUGGCCACCGCCAGGCCAGGAUAGUCAGCUUCAGUGCGUGGCAAUGUAACUGGUGGAGACUGAUUGGUUGCUACAGAUGAACUCGAAGUCGCCGGCGAUACUGCCUGGAUGAUACUGUUCCUAAUAGCAGUGGCUGUGGAACUAUCCGCAGGUGGCGUUGAGGCUGCUAAAGCUUGAUCGGUGAUUAUAUGUAUAAGGAGCCGCAGACAAUUGUGUUACCAUCGGGCCGGGUGCUGUGAAGCUGCCGUUGUGACCAGGAGCAUUUGGCGCGCUUACAGCCGCGUGUGGCAGAAUGGGUGGCAUUGAUUGUCUGGCAGCCGCCAGGCCAGGACAGUCGGCUACAAUGUGAGGCAAAGUGACCGGUGGAAACUGAUUUGCAGCCCAUGGGACAUUAACAUCGGAGGCCAUACGAACUUGAAGUCGCUGGCGUUGCAGCUGCCACGGGUCUCGGCAGUGACUGAAGGAUACUAAUAGCAGCGGCUGUGGAUCUGGCCGAAGGAGGCGUAGUGGCAGGUGAAGCUUGCUUGUCCUCCGCCUGGCCGCGGCGGUCAGUGACUAAGUGAGCUGUGCAGUUUUUAUUGUCC